GAUGAACGCUAGCUACAGGCUUAACACAUGCAAGUCGAGGGGCAGCACAGUGUAGCAAUACACGGGUGGCUACCGGCGCACGGGUGCGUAACACGUAUCCAAUCUGCCCGUUACUCGGGGACAGCCCUCUGAAAGGAAGAUUAAUACCCGAUGGCAUGUAUUUCCGGCAUCGGAGAUGCAUUAAAGAUUUAUCGGUACCGGCUGGGGAUGCGUACGAUUAGGUAGUUGGCGGGGUAACGGCCCACCAAGGCGACGAUCGUUAGGGGUUCUGAGAGGAAGGUCCCACACACUGGAACUGAGACACGGUCCAGACUCCUACGGGAGGCAGCAGUGAGGAAUAUUGGUCAAUGGUCGAGAGACUGAACCAGCCAAGUAGCGUGAAGGAUGACUGCCCUACGGGUUGUAAACUUCUUUUGUUUGGGAAUAAAGUGAGGCACGUGUGCCUUUUUGUAUGUACCUUACGAAUAAGCAUCGGCUAAUUCCGUGCCAGCAGCCGCCGUAAAAC
rnacentral:rRNA from 1 species